rnacentral:tRNA from 1 species
UCCCUGGUAGCUCAGCUGGUAAAGAAUCUGCUUGCAAUGCGGGAAACCUGGGUUCGAUCCCUGGCUUGGGAA